CAGAUCAAGGGGACUGUACAAGGAGCUUGAGGGGGAGGAAGAUUUAGGAGAGACAAAGACUGGGGGCAUGGUGAUGGCAGUGUUGCAAGAAACAGAGUGCAGCGUUCUGUACGAAUUAGAGGCAGAAGUCACUACAGAGCCAGCUCAUGUGACUGUGUCAUCCUUUUGCAGUUCAGUGUUAUGUUCUUACACAACUUGAGCUUUACUGAAGUUCUAAGGCAAAUGGAAACAUCAAUAAUAUUUCUGUGAGCCUCCAAGAAAGUCGUGGGAUACAACAAAGUGAAAAAACUUGGAAUAAUA